rnacentral:rRNA from 1 species
GUGGGGAAUCUUCCGCAAUGGACGAAAGUCUGACGGAGCAACGCCGCGUGAGUGAAGAAGGUUUUCGGAUCGUAAAGCUCUUUCGUUAGGGACGAACGUGCUCUUUGUGAAUAAUGAGGAGUAAUGACGGUACCUAAAUAAGAAGCCACGGCUAACUACGUGCCAGCAGCCGCGGUAAUACGUAGGUGGCAAGCGUUGUCCGGAAUUAUUGGGCGUAAAGCGCGCGCAGGCGGGAUAUCAAGUCUGUCUUAAAAGUGCGAGGCUCAACCUCGUGAGGGGACUGAAACUGGUAUUCUUGAGUGUCGGAGAGGAAAGUGGAAUUCCAAGUGUAGCGGUGAAAUGCGUAGAGAUUUGGAAGAACACCAGUGGCGAAGGCGACUUUCUGGACGAUGUCUGACGCUGAGGCGCGAAAGCUAGGGGAGCGAACGGGAUUAGAAACCCGGGUAGUCC